CUGCGCCACCUCACGUGCUGGAUUUGCCAGGAUCUGAGCUCACUGAGCACGGCUGUUCAGACACUGUCCUGCACUCCGUGGGGGAUCAGGGGCUUCCGUGCAAGGGCAGACUUACACUGGCCGCACUCUUUCAAAAUGAAGUGUCCAGACCCUACUUCAUCUAACUUCAUUCUGAUGGAAACAGCUAAAGGGAAAAAAGAGGACGCAAUUUAUUCUGCUGGUGCUGGUUCUGCCUUUCAGUGCCCUGUGGAGAUAAUGGAAGACUCCAGCAAAACCAUCCCUGCUUUUCCUCCCUCUUCCCUGCACUCAGACUGGAGAGGGAGAGUUUGCUCUGCACCUCUCCCUGACCUGCUGUCAUGCUCUACCAGCAUGGAGACUGAGCCCCCAGGCACUGGGCCAGCACAGGGCAGGCAGAGACGAUGGGGCUGGAGACAGGUGGGAGAAGCAUGAUAGGGGUUAAAAAGAAUCACAUGAAAAUCAAAGUGGUCUCUUGCAGCCUUCAA